UAGGGAAUCUUCCACAAUGGACGAAAGUCUGAUGGAGCAACGCCGCGUGAGUGAUGAAGGGUUUCGGCUCGUAAAACUCUGUUGUUGGAGAAGAACAGGUGUCAGAGUAACUGUUGACAUCUUGACGGUAUCCAACCAGAAAGCCACGGCUAACUACGUGCCAGCAGCCGCGGUAAUACGUAGGUGGCAAGCGUUGUCCGGAUUUAUUGGGCGUAAAGAGCAUGUAGGCGGUUUUUUAAGUCCGGAGUGAAAAUUGCGGGGCUCAACCCCGUAUGGCUCUGGAUACUGGAAGACUUGAGUGCAGGAGAGGAAAGGGGAAUUCCCAGUGUAGCGGUGAAAUGCGUAGAUAUUGGGAGGAACACCAGUGGCGAAGGCGCCUUUCUGGACUGUGUCUAACGCUGAGAUGCGAAAGCCAGGGUAGCGAACAGGAUUAGAUACC
rnacentral:rRNA from 1 species